rnacentral:lncRNA from 1 species
CGUGUGUUCAUACCAAGACACCGCAAUCCUUGUUCACCCGUGCUUCACUUCGAUUUGGAGGAACAUAUCUCCUUCAAGGUAUUAUUAUUUAAGUCAACAUUUCGCAUUUCACACAUUGGAAUAAAUUUUGUUUACAGGGUAACAAUCAAAUGAAGAUUACUAAACCCAACUUUAUUUCUGCAGCUCACUUUAAAAAAAAUCAGAGGGUGUGGAAACAACGACAUAUGUGCUACAUGGUAUAACAAAGCAAUGCACGACACGGUGAAAGCAAAGGUGAAAGAAUCAGGAUUUUUGCCUUUUUUGUCAAUACUGGGACAUGGAAAGAAAGGGGAUAGGCCAUUACUUGUGGCCUUAGCUGAGAGAUGGUGGGACACUACCCACACAUUCCACUUCGAUGAAGUUGGAGAGAUGACAAUGACCCCGACGGACUUCGCAGCAAUCACAGGAUUGCGUGUUGGUGGGAAGCGAUUAACGUACGACUUGGACAUUUACAGAAAUAAGAACAAGGUGGUGAAAUUGUUUGGGAAACCAAUUGCAGACCUACUGGCAGGGGAAAGGAGAGUGCCGUAUGAAAGCCUUUGCACUCCGUACUGGAGGAAGAAUCCGAAAAAUGAUAAAGAAGCUGACCAAAUUGCAAGGGCAUUUAUACUGUGCUUGAUUGGCUCCUCAUUCCUCAAUGACAAGAGCCAAUACGUGAGUAUGCACUACGCCCCCUGUCUGGAAAUAGUCUCAGACAUUGGUAAAUAUGACUGGGGCGGUGCGGCGUUGGCUUGCUUGUAUAGAUCAUUGGAUUCUUGUUCCAGGGGCA